GAUGGGUUGGCGUAAUGGCAACGCGUCAGUUUCCGGAAUCUAAGUCUCAAAGACUUAGUUAUAGGCCAGCUGAAGUAUCCGGGUUCGACCCCCGGGCCUGUCG